rnacentral:rRNA from 1 species
UACGAAGGGGGCUAGCGUUGUUCGGAAUUACUGGGCGUAAAGCGCGUGUAGGCGGGUCUUAAGUCAGGGGUGAAAUGCCAAGGCUCAACCUUGGAACGGCCUUUGAUACUGGAGACCGUUGAGUCCGGGAGAGGUGAGUGGAAUUGCGAGUGUAGAGGUGAAAUUCGUAGAUAUUCGGCAAGAACACCAGUGGCGAAGGCGGCUCACUGGCCCGGAACUGGACGCUGAGACGCGAAAGCGUGGGGAGCAAACGG